AAUAAAUUGUAAACCCUAAAUUAACACUUGUCUCCUCCUACUACUCUCUAUUAACUCGUUGUUUUUCAUCUUCUCCCUCUUCUUCUUGCUUCCUUUUUCUCUCCUCCUCCUUCAUUUCUAAGCACACAGUCUCUCUCACUCCCUCAAGACCCUCCUCCUUCAAGAUCCAUUCUCUGUCCUCUUCAAACUUCUAUCCCAUCACAGACUCUUCACCCAUGGGCUUCCCCUCUCUCAACUCGGAGCCUAACAGGUAGGACCUAUCUUAAUACAAGCCCUGCUCAAGAAGGGAGAUUAGGCAGCCUCAGAUUCCCCAGGAUAUGAUCACUCUGUUGGAGGAUAUGGAGCCGAAUGCCUCGUCAAAGGCCACAGUAUUGAAGCUUGCGGUGCAAGGGAUUAUCAGAAAGAUGGUUGAUGAGAUGGAGUCUGGGUUAAUGAUGGAGAUGGAUUACAUGUUAUUCAUUUUGGAUGUUUGGUAGAAGCAAAUUCAAGUAGUUUGAGAGAAAGUCGAAGUUAGUAAGGUUCAAUUUAGCAUUUCACAUUUAAAUUAUGCAUUUCUAGAGAUGAAAAGAAAUAUUAGUAUAACCUUAGGUUGUUUUACAUUCAUUGAUAUGCUACUAAUGUUGUAUUUAUAGUGAAGAUAUAAAAGUUAGGCUUUCACCAAAUUUGGUCUACUUUUGAA